rnacentral:sRNA from 1 species
GGACCUCCCGGAUCUUCAAGGGAGGAAUCAGUGAGAGGUUAUCGAUCCCGAUUGCUUUCCCAACCUUUGGCUAUUUGCCUUUCGCGGACUUCAGAAGCUCGAGUUCGAGAUUGAUAAUUAGUCCUCGUCGUUUUCCAACCAUCGUAUGUCACUGACGGGAUGAAGGGUUUCUUGCGCGGGGUUGCGGAAUAAGAACCCAGGAGGUCCGUCCGUGGAAUAUUUGAGACUUUCAGGAUUUGUUCGUUGCAUUGGGAUCUAAAAUUUCCAGCAUCUGAAGCUACAUCUUGCCAUCCCGAAUUCUUUCGUCAAGGGCCUACUCGAGCUCAUUUGCAUAAGCCCGAAUUUACUCGUCGUUAUACCAAUAACUUUGGCCAGGGCAAUGUCUUUCAAGGACUUCCACGCUCUCCCCGACUGCAUAAGACAAGACAAUGGCUGAUUCGCCUCCAUUCUUUUUGCAAAGAUGUCCAUAAACUGUGCCACGGAGAUAAAGUCCUCCUGAGCAUACUGCGUACACCCUUUCCUUGGGCAUCCAUUUUAAUCUAAUCCGCUGACCAGUUUAGCCGACGCAUUCAGAAUUCAGGCUUGACUCUCUCAACGAAACCCAUGACGCUUUGAAUACCAGCGACAAUAUUUACGCUUCCUAAACACUCCAUUUCACGGGCCCCGGAUUGUGUGGUGAAAUCCGAUUCCCGAACCUUGUAGAACCAAGUGUCCGCAUAUUCAUCUCCAAUGACCAGGGUUUAUCGACAUCCUCCAUCACUACGGUGGUUCCUUUUACCCCAGGCCCCCCUCCCUCCACUUUGGUCCUCUCCAUGUGUGUGUGUGCGUGUGUGGGUGGAUUCUUACUCUUUUUGAUCUUGCAAUAAUUCCCUAGCACAUUGGAACGUGAAUCGGGAUUUAUGGCAAUAUUUGUGUAGCAAGGAACAGCAAAUUGUUGGUGUCGCGACGAGAAGAAGCCUAAAAAAUCACUGUUUUCGGACUUCAAAAACUUGCCGUAAGGGAAUUGUGAUUUGGAAGCCAUUGUACGGGCUGUGCUGCUACCGGAUCUCAGCAUGGUGUCAGCCUUUUUCUCUGAUCACCGUAUUUUCGAUAAUAAUGAGCAAAUUUUAAUGGAAUUUAUCCCGAAAUAAUAUGGAAUAUAACGAUCCCACCUUAGUCUGCUGAACAGGGAAAUUUAACAGAUGAUUCACAUGUAAUGAGAACGGGAGUCAAGAAAACCCUCUAAAGGCGAUGAAGCAAGCACUGAUAUCUCAGAAAGAAACUAGGAGAAACAAAAAAAAAAAAAAAAAAAACCGUCACAAAAUCUAAAAUAUCAAAUCUUGAUAGCAAGUCGCCUGAACAUAACCAAACAGGGGAAUGUUGCGCCGAAAUGGGAAAAUUUCAGAGUUCCCUAGCCGAUGUUCAAAGUCGGAGAUAAAAUCGCUGGAGUCACCAUCGAGAGAAUUAUACUUCAAAUUGAUAAGGAAAAACCAGUUAAUAUUUGCUGCAUAUGGGUAUAAAAUCACCAGGUACACAUGUAUAUGGACGCCUAUAUUUUUUCCCUGAUCGAAUCCGGUAUAAUGCGGUCUUCUACUCUCCGCAAAAGUUUAUUGGUUUGCUCGGCCAAACUCAGGGUCAAAAUCGUAUGGGGUAGAAUACGUGCUAAAUGAGCGAAGUACCCUUUGUAAAUUGCAAGAACUCCUUCUGUGCUGAUGGUCUUGUACAAGCAGUCGAAUACACCCUUGUAGAGGUUUCCGGUUUGGUUAUACAUUCGCGACAUGAUGGUAUCAGGAGGAUGCAUAACACAACAGACGACAAAGCCGCUGCAGGUGCUACUUGCCAAAUGCAAUGCAGGGCCGUCUUCCAUUCCAAGAUGUUUUAUUAACCGUCUUUUUGCGAAGAAAUAUGUAGGAAGCUGCACAGAGCUGCCAAAUCCAGUACGGACCAUAGCUGCAUAAACGCCGCGAUAUAGACCUUUCACGCCCUCACCCAUGUAAAUUUGUCGUAGUCCAUCGAAUGAGUUUCUAUACUUAUGUUGUGUGCCCACAGGUAGGAAUGGAGAAAAAGAUUGGAGUCGUGUUUUUACUAGGAAAAAAGGAGAUCCGGCGGCAGCCCCCAAGACACCCGAUGCAGCCCCUGAAAAGACAUUUAUGCCGAGAGAUUGGUGGGUCGAGUCUUUGUAAAUGGCUUGCGUGAUGUUCACCCGCAGUGGUUCAUAAAACCCAAGACGACAGCCGUUAAGGAGAACUUGGUAGACAUA